rnacentral:lncRNA from 1 species
GCUGAGACUGGGUGGAGGGAGAGGCACGGAGACACUGGGGCUCUGAUGAGCUGGCUAAGGCCCUCUCAGUAGGGGGGUCACGCCUCCUGGAACUCAGGGACCCCAAGUUUCUGUGCAUUCAGGGCAGGGCUGGCCUCAUGCCCUGUGCAUAGAGGCCUGGCUGCAUCCCAGUCGAUCAGCCAGAGGCAGCAGCAGUGGACUCAUCAAUUGUGGAGGAAGCCCUGGGGACCCUGGGGACCUUGCCGACUCUAUUCCCAGUCUGCUCCUAGGACAAGCCUCAAAGCCAACACCUGCUCGACCCUCUCCAGGCCCCUCCCCUUCUUUGUCUUUUGCAGAUGAUCGCCGGGUGUCCUCCUUUUCCCCCUAGUCAGGUCCUGCCCCAGUGACCAGGCACUUCCUUCCAUCUGGAGAGUGAGCAGGACCUCCCUCUCUGGUGCCCAGGGAGGCUGGUGGGCUCUUAGAGCCUCUCUAGGUUCCAGGCACCAGCUAAGCACUGGAGCGGGAGGAAGCAGGGCGGAUAGCUGAAGGAAUGUGGCUGAUUCAACUCUCCAAUCAAGGCUGCGUGGUCAGGAAGGGAACUUGAAUAGCUAAGGCCAUUCUGCAGGACUCCAGCCCUCCACCUGCAGGGCAGCAGUGCCACGUGAUCACAUACAGAUCCUGGUUCUGACUGCUGGCAACUGUGUCAUGCCAUCUCCCAUCAAGUCCACAUGAGGACACUCAGAUUCAAGGACGUAAGUGACUUGUGCAUAGUCACACAGCUAGGAGGUGGCUGCACCAGGAUUCAGAUCCAGCCUGCCUGAUGCUGACCACAUGGUCUGUGGGGUGCUGCAGAAAGAAAACUGCAUAAAGAAGGUGAUCCUGGCCUCGGGGAGUUCCUGGUGUGCGCCUCCAGCCAGCGUGGUUCCCUGCAGAGGGCACUCCGGUACAGAGUAUUUCUAGGGAGGGCUAAGGAGCAGCUAAUCACUAAACAACUCCUCUUUCCUCCUAUCCCCCCAAAAUGUUCCCUACACUUGGAAUUCCACCAGACCUUGAAACCCUUCCCACAGUUACUGCAUCCAUGAAUCUGCCUGGUUUAUUGGGAAGGAACUGUCCCCCACAACACCCCCAAUUUCCCCUUAAGGUACCGCAGUUUGGUGAAGACAGGAUCCUGCUGAAUGCCUACCAGACAACAGAGACUGAGUAAAACUGUGCAUUUCAUUGUAUGUAAAUUAGACCUUAACAAAUCCAAGACUUACUGAGCCUGCCAAGGUGGUGCAUGCCUGUAAUCCCUGCUACUCAGGAGGCUGAGACAAGAAGAUGACUUGACCUCAGGAGUUCAAAUCCAGCUUGGGCAAUAUCGCAAGACCCCAUCUUUUAAAAAAAAAAAACAAAACAAAAAACAAAACCCAAAAUGUACUGAGUGACUUUUUCUGGGGCCGAGCAUCCCCAAGUUUGAUUGAUGCAUCAAUAUCUAUAAUAAAGACUCCACAGCACCAAAGGCCUAA